GGCUCCCCUGGCCCGGGCGGGGCUGUCAUCACCUGCUGGUUGGGGGAGGAGGCGAGGCCCCCUGGGGGCUGUUGUCUUAGCGAUUGAGAAAGCAGGGAACUUGGCUCUGCCGGAACUGGUUCCCAGGCCAGGCCGGAACCUGUGGAGGCCGCAGUGCCCGUGGCCUAGGGGGCUCAGGGUUGCGGCCAGCUGAGGGCACGGGCUGGUUCCGGGGGCAAGGGGGAGCAUGUUUCUCUGUUCCACAGAGCCCCUUCCCCAGAGUGCCACCCCUGUGAGUGCUGCUCCCCACCUCGGGACGCCACGCUGACUAGCGCCUCCCUGCAGGUCUCCCUCAAUGCUUGGUUCUGGUCCACAGUCUUCCACACCAAGGACACCGACCUCACAGAGAAAAUGGAUUACUUCUGUGCCUCCACCGUCAUCCUGCACUCCAUCUAUCUGUGCUGUGUCAGGACCGUGGGGCUGCAGCACCCGGCUGUGGCCAGCGCCUUCCGGGCCCUCCUGCUGCUGCUGCUGACCGCGCACGUCUCCUACCUGAGCCUCGUCCGUUUCGACUAUGGCUACAACCUGGCGGCCAAUGUGGC